rnacentral:rRNA from 1 species
AUUGAACGCUGGCGGCAGGCCUAACACAUGCAAGUCGAACGGUAACAGGAAGCAGCUUGCUGCUUCUCUGACGAGUGGCGGACGGGUGAGUAAUGUCUGGGAAGCUUCCUGAUGGAGGGGGAUAACUACUGGAAACGGUAGCUAAUACCGCAUAAUGUCGCAAGCCCAAAGAGGGGGACCUUCGGGCCUCUUGCCAUCGUAUGUGCCCAGAUGGGAUUCGCUUGUUGGUGGGGUAACGGCUCACCAAGGCGACGAUCCCUAGCUGAUCUGAGAGGAUGACAAGCCGCACGGGAACGGAGACACGGUCAAGACUACUACGGGAGGCAGCAGUGGGGAAUAUGGCACAAUGGGCGCAAGCAUGAUGCAGCCAUGCCGCGUGUAUGAAGAAGGCCUUCGGGGUGUAAAGUACUUUCAGCGGGGAGGAAGGGAGUAAAGUUAAGACCUAUGCUCAUUGACGGUAACGGGAGAAGAAGCACCGGCUAACUACGUG